rnacentral:misc_RNA from 1 species
GGUGGGAGCGAGCUUGCUCGCGAUAGCGGUGGAUCAAUCGACACUCAUGUCGAAUUCGAGUCCGUCAUCGCGAGCAAGCUCGCUCCCACA